UGGGGAAUAUUGGACAAUGGGGGGAACCCUGAUCCAGCCAUGCCGCGUGUGUGAAGAAGGCCUUAUGGUUGUAAAGCACUUUAAGCGAGGAGGAGGGUACUGGUAUUAAUACUACCAGGUACUGGACGUUACUCGCAGAAUAAGCACCGGCUAACUCUGUGCCAGCAGCCGCGGUAAUACAGAGGGUGCGAGCGUUAAUCGGAUUUACUGGGCGUAAAGCGUGCGUAGGCGGCUAAUUGAGUCGGAUGUGAAAUCCCCGAGCUUAACUUGGGAAUUGCAGUCGAUACUGGUUAGCUAGAGUGUGGGAGAGGAUGGUAGAAUUCCAGGUGUAGCGGUGAAAUGCGUAGAGAUCUGGAGGAAUACCGAUGGCGAAGGCAGCCAUCUGGCCUAACACUGACGCUGAGGUACGAAAGCAUGGGGAGCAAACAGG
rnacentral:rRNA from 1 species